UUUCCUGUGCAAUUGAUUGGCUAUGGAUCCUUUGACUGAGCCACGUGAGCGAUGACUGCUGAGUGGCAUGCCAACGCGUUUAAUGAAACGCAUCGUUUCAUUUACUUGACCUGGGUUCCAUGUGUGUUGUUACGUGUGUGAAUGAUUGGACUGUGUUGCUUUGACUGAGCCAUGUAUGCCUUUGACUGCUGAUGUGUAUGCUGAAGUGUAUUAAUGAAACGCAGUGUUUUGAUGUUUGAACCAGGACCAUUUGAUUUCAUUUCGCGCCUGAUCGUGUGGUCCUGAAUAUUUUCUGAUUUAAUUUCAAAUAUUUGUUUCCCUCCAUAUUUCUUUUGAUAUUUCAAUUAUUUUGUUCAUCUUUGGAAAAUCAUUAAAAAUAGAAAAAUGCUCCAAAUUAACUCCAAUUUUUUU
rnacentral:lncRNA from 1 species